rnacentral:rRNA from 1 species
AUUGAACGCUGGCGGCAGGCCUAACACAUGCAAGUCGAGCGGAUGAAGGGAGCUUGCUCCUGGAUUCAGCGGCGGACGGGUGAGUAAUGCCUAGGAAUCUGCCUGGUCGUGGGGGAUAACGUCCGUAAACGGGCGCUAAUACCGCAUACGUCCUGAGGGAGAAAGCGGGGGAUCUUCGGACCUCACGCUAUCAGAUGAGCCUAGGUCGGAUUAGCUAGUUGGUGGGGUAAAGGCCUACCAAGGCGACGAUCCGUAACUGGUCUGAGAGGAUGAUCAGUCACACUGGAACUGAGACACGGUCCAGACUCCUACGGGAGGCAGCAGUGGGGAAUAUUGGACAAUGGGCGAAAGCCUGAUCCAGCCAUGCCGCGUGUGUGAAGAAGGUCUUCGGAUUGUAAAGCACUUUAAGUUGGGAGGAAGGGCAGUAAGUUAAUACCUUGCUGUUUUGACGUUACCAACAGAAUAAGCACCGGCUAACUUCGUG